rnacentral:lncRNA from 1 species
CCCCUUUUCCAUUCUUCUCGGAUGUCGCAACCAGAUGGUGGAGCCCAGGAUCCAGACGCGACCUUCGACGACAACUGCUACUACACUGAGGGUGCCUACUACUACAUGGAGGCUGCCGACGACCAGGAGUAGUUAGGAGGCUCCCAGGCAGGAGGCCUUGCCUUUUCGAUCGAUGUUGCUUUUGUGUUAGCCUUCUUAAGGCAAAAACUUGUCUAACGUAUGUCUGUACUCAGAUAUUGUUGCUUCCACUGACUCUUGUGUAUUCGAGCUUAUGUAUUCGAGCCCUCGAGGCCCCUGGCUUGUAAUAUAAAGCUUAUAUUAUUUUAAUUUGUGUCUAGAGUUGUGUUGUGAUAUCUUCCCAUGAGUCCUUGAUCUUGAUCGUAUACAUUUGCGUGUAUGAUUAGUGUACGAUUGAAUCGAGGGCGUCACAAGUUGGUAUCAGAGCCGACUGCCUUUAGGUAGCCCCCUUUCCAACUCCUUGGCUGAAGUCGAGUCUAGUUAGUGAAAAACUUUUACUAACAUGGAUGUGUGCCUUACGGGCCCAUGUUGCCAUUUGGGUGGUAUUAGGAUCUUUUAUUCCUCGUCUAUACUCUGGGACUCUGAUCUCUCUUAUAUUCGGGUUAAAUGGUUUUUACUAACUUGAGCAUUAGGAUCUCGUGAUCACAUCCGCCCAGAGAGCCCCUUAUUUCAGAUGAUCGCCUGCUGCAUCAGAAGAUUCCGAAGAUACUCUACGAUAUUCUCUCGAGACUUUGUGCCUGUUGCCUUUGCAAUUCCCUACCACCGAAAUAUCCUUAUGGAUAGCUACACACACUUGCCAAUUUUACAUCCUAACCCAUUGAUCUUGUUAUUACAAGAUGCCCUGAACUGCUCUCCGUUGUUCCGAGAAUCCCUUGAGCUUACUGCGUUGCAGUUCCUUGUCACCUGAAUACCCCUUCGGAUAACUUUGUGCACCUAUCAAGUACCCGCUAAUCCUCAGUUGAUUUAUGUACUUCACAAAAGCCUUUGUAAUACCAUUCAUUCUUGUGAAAAUCCUCAACAGCCUUUUGUUCUUGAAUUUCUUGCUUGCUUGCAUUAUGGUUAAUACCAUAAGUCUAGUAAUCUUAUUGUCAUCCGUUGUCCCUAUCAUUUUGAGUCCAUUGAUACAAUAUGUUGCGAAUGAUCGCAAUCCUCAGUCAGAUCCUAGAAUUCAUCCUUCCGGCUCAGACGUCAUUUUAACAUGUGUUGAAUCUCGAUCAAUCAAAUCGCCAUCGAUUGUACCUCUAAGGCUAUUCUACCUAUCCAUCCCUAAUCAGAGAAUUGCUUCUGAUCCCUUGUCUUGGAAUUCAUAAUUUCUUUGCAAUUGAGCUCUCAGUUAGUCAGUUGUUUCUAUAAUCUGAUCUCCUUGCAUUCUUUCUUCCUCUGGUUGAAUAUUGAUGUUCACAUCAGAUCCACAUUGUGGACCACCAGACCCCUUUUACGGAUUUUAUCCAACAACAUUCUUCAUAUUCAAUAAGCUUGUGAGCCUUUCCUCGGAUACAUAAUGCUUUUGGUAAAUUGUAUCCUCCACUUUCUCAAGCAUGCUCUACUACUGAGCGUGUGUUACUUAUUCUCAAAAUUUAUGAUAUAUGUUCCUAAGAUGCCCCGAUGGGUUGAACCUAUGCCUUCCCUAAUCUGUGUGAACUCGAGAGUUACGCGGAUUAUACUCUACUGGCUUUUCGUCAGAUAAAAGUUCAAUACUACAGCUUCAUCAAGAGCGAGAAGUAAAAUGAAAGGUUAUGCAUUGUAGAAGUGGGAGUCGACCUUGAACCUUUGUGUUCAUGCCCACGGACACGGAGUGGAACUUAUCAUGAAAGCUUCUUGCAAGGAUAUUUAAUCAUUUGAAUAAUUCUUCUGGUAUCGUAAAUUGGAUCCCUUGCAGUUAUGGUCUCGGCCAUAUUUCCUCCUUGAUCCCAUUGGGUAAGUUAAAAUUACUUAUCCUCUACAAAUCGUUUCCCCCGUCCAACCUCUACUCCGAUUUACCUUCUGGCAUUACACCUAGUACUUGGUACUGGGAAGCUUUAUACCCCAUCACAUCAUUCCUAGCCUGGUCGGCUAUAUUUUUAUCGUGUCAACUUUUAACUGUGUCACCUGGUCCUCCUUCCCGGAGCACAAUUUUCGACGAUGAGCUAAGCUUACGUCCAUUUUCCUCAUCAUAUCAUUUCACCUUGAACAACAAGCUUGAUUUCGAGUUUGUGAUGUACCCAUGGUUCCAAUAACCUUUUGCUUCAUCAUUCCUUUGACUUGGUGUCGUCGCUGAAUGAUUACAUCUUCAGGAAAUCUCUCGACAAAUGUGUCGUGAUCAUCAUCAGCCUUAUGAGCUCUUCCAGGAUAUCAAUCGAAUGAGAAAUACAAUCCUUCCCCUCGAUGAUUUAUGUUAUCAUCGACAACAUUCUUGCCUUCCCCAACACAAACUUGUUCAUAUAAUUUUGGAAAUACAUCCUUUUUGGCAUGUCGAUGGAUUGUGGCUGAGCCCGUCGGCCACACCCUCAUCUUUUUCCUGCUAAAAUUGUAUGACUUAUUUUCUAAGUUGUUUUCGAUGGAUCCUUGGUGUAUCUAAAGUUUGACCUUUGCUUGAAACUAUGUCAAUGCUAUCUCGAAGCAUGUCUGUGGUAAUCCGAUCUCCAAUAAGAACAUUUGAAGCACGGUACUAAUUUUUUUUAUCAAUUUUCCAAACACCGUUGUAUGGGUAAUGUCAUGAAAUUUCUUUCCCUUUACCUAAUUGGUUAUCUACUUACUAUCCUGUCAUGGAUAUCUUGCUCUGUCUGUCCUUGGGAAGGAUAUACCCCUGAAAUAUGUGUUUAAACACAUUUUCCUUUCCAUUGUUCUAUUUAAUUGGACAAUUAUAUUUUCCUUUCCAUUGGUUUGCUUAACCUUUCUUGUGAUCUAUACAUGUUAUAAGCAGAAAUAAAUCCCUGCUUAUGGAAACACCUCGGUAUACAACUCUGUCAGUGUGACCCUGUUACUAUUGUUGACGACAUCCUGGUAACCCCCGAUGGACGAGAACUUUGCCUAUUGGUCCGCCUCGUUCAACGAGCAGGAAAAUGGUUCUCUUCGUCCCUCGCCCUUGGUACCGACGUUGUUACCGACAUAACUAACAGGCUGCCCUCUAACAUGCUUUGCUAUCAUGACCGUGCAAAAUGCUAGCGCCCUUUCUACUUUUAACCCACAUGGUGGGCCCAAUAACCCACAGUUCCACAGGAUCGAAACCUAACUCUCCUGUACCCCCUGUUUCUAAGGUUAUUCCUCCCGCUUGGCUUCGUAUCAUGUCACGAGCCACCUUCUAAGAGAUGAUCUAUUCCGGAUGCUCUGAACCCCUUUCUCACACUCGGUUCAGGUAUCAAUCGUUUGUCCAUCCGCUUGAAACUUCCUAUUGUACCUCCAAAUUUUGCCCUCGAUGUUUUCUUAAGUUUCAACUCAAGAGACACUUCUGCCACAUUCCCUGAAUUGUUCACCAGAUAAUUAACCCUAUAAGGGUCAGUUCUUUCGAAGUUACUCUUUACUUCCGCACUUAAAUCUCGGGACGAGAUUUCUUGUAGUGGAGGAGAUUUGUAACACCCUCAGUGUCAAGCUACAGUAAUCCCCUACUAAUGAUGCCAAGUCAUCACUGUUAUUGUUGCUAAUCUCACGUUGAUUCAAAACCAAUUCAAAUUCAAUUUUAAAAUAAAGUCAAAAAUUCAAAUUUGCCAAACAUGAAAACUAGAAUGUUCAAAGUGUGGAAAAUAAUCACUAAAUAAUUGUCAUGUUGGAACCAACCUCUUCUGAAUUCCCAAAAUGCCCAUGAGAAUUAACUCAGUGCUCCAGCAACAUUUAAUUUGGCCUUUUCAAUUUCUAAAAUUAAUUAGGCAACUCCUUUUGGCCCCAAACUUUUUGUGCCAUCUAAUAUUGUUGUGAUUGAUUUAUGUGCAAAGUUUUACAAGUAACAAAGCUCAUUUGGUAGCUAGAAUAAAUAGAAAACAGUAGCAGGAAUGUAAAACAAAAAAGAAUAGAAAAUGAAUAAAGCCUAUUGUGCCACUGGGCCAUAAGUGGCCUCAGCACACAAGGCCCAGCCCACCAAGAGCUAUCCACCUCCCUGUUCACAGCAUGAGGUCGUGGCACACAUCCGACCACCAUGGCCGCGGUUGUGGAUGCGUGUUGGACAUCCUGCGGCUUACCCCGGCGCCUACUUGACGCCCCGAGCUCCCCUGUCUCUCCCUGGUAACCCUAGUCCCCCAAAUCCCCUCUCCUCACUCAUAUCCGACGACCUGGAAGAGGCCAAACUCGCGGUCAUCGUCAUCGUCGUCGAUCCCGCGGCCACCGGCCUCCACUCGUCGCGCCAAGACGUCGAGGAGCUCCGCCAUCGUCGUCUUCGUCGCCCUCGCCUUUCGGUUGGAUCUCGGACGGACUGCUGCCUCGCCAUCGCGCGGUCUUCUCCGCACGGCUGCCGCAUCUCGUCGACGAGCGCGGCGCGUCCAGCCACCCCUGCACCUUCCAACCAUGUCCAUGAGCUCCACCGUGAGUUCCUCUCCCGGCCCCCCUUUUCCCCUGCUCGAUCCGCGCCGUAGCCGUCGUCCCCGAGCUCAUCUUGGCCAUGGCCGUGGACCUGCUCCUACGCGCACCUGCCCUGCGUCCCGCGGCGCCCCUGGCUGCGCGCUUGUGCGCCUCACCCACGCCCCGCGUCUAUCCCGUACACGCGCGCCCGUGCGCUGUUGCUCGUGUUGCUUGCCCGCUGUUUGCCUCUCCACUGAUGCUAGUUGCCGCUUCUGCUUUAGCUUCUUGCUGCUCUUGCCGUCGCCGCUGUUCUUGCACUGCUGCUGCUCUUGCUUGCUGCACCGCCGCUACUUUGCUAGCGUUGCUUGCUAGCGCCGCUUGCUGCUGCUCUGUAUUGCUACUACUCGCUGCUUCUCCAUGGCCGUGUGCGUGCGUGCUCUGUGUGUGAUGUGUGCUAUGCUGCGUCCUGUGUGUGUGCCUAUGGCCGGCUGGGUCUCUGGAUGAGACGUGGCACUUUUUAGAUUAGUAGCUAGCUUUUUUAAUUUCACAUCGAGUAACCCCCUGGACUGCCCCUAAACAGUGGCUAAACAACUUCUAACAGGAGCAAGAAUAUUAUUGGGAGGUAGUACACUUGACAAGGCUCAAAUGUUUUCACUGAACCAAAUCCUUUUGAUGCGUGGAUUAAUUUCUAUGAAAAUCACAAAGUUCUAUGUUUUGUUAACAAAAAAAAUCGAAAACAGCUUUAUUUUCAUACCUACUUUAGAGCUGUUGAUGAUCAGGCAAAUGACCUCUAAUAUGGAUGGAAGUGAUACUAACAUGUAGAUCGCAGAGAAGUGCUCACAAUUGAUAUAAGGCACAAAAUCAUAGAAUGUACAGAACAAUAGCUAUAGUCUCGAGAAAACAGCUAAGUGAUGUUUUAAACUUUCGAAUUCUCAGACUUCGUAGAAUUUCAGGGAUUUUGACAAUAUUGUUAAAUCUUUGAAAAAUCAUAGAAAAUUAACCGUAGCCCGGAUCGAAAAAAUUUAUAUAGGAAAGUUGCUCAGAACGACGAGACGAACCCGGAUACGUAGCCUGUUUGUUUGCCUCGCAUCCCUAGCAUAGCAAACACGCAACUUUCUCCUUCCGUUUUAUCUGCCCGAAAGCGCGAAACACCGGGGAUAUUUUUCCGGAUGUUCCCCCCUUCACCGGUACCACCACUUACCGCAUUAGGGCACCCCCCCAGCACCGAUACUUGUUAUGUUAUGCAUCGCUAUGCAUCUGUUUGCUUAAUAUUUAUUGUUUCUUCCCCCUCUUCUCUUUGAUAGACUACGAGACCGACGCCGCUGCUACCCAGUACGACUACGGUGUUGACGACCCCUCUCUCUUGCCAGAGCAACUAGGCAAGCAAACCCCCCCUGAGCCUUUCGAUAUCGCCCACUUAUCUCCCUCUCAUGCUUGCAUUAGAACUGCUACUGCUUUAUGUAUGAUCCUACUCUGAUGCAUAGCCUGUUGUUGUUACCUGCUUUCAUACCUUACCCGCUUAUCCUAAACUGCUUAGUAUAGGUUGGUUAGUGAUCCAUCAGUGACCCCCACCUUGUCCCAGUUGCCCCGCUUUAUGUUCGAUGACUCGAUCAUCGUGAUCGACGUCCAGGCCCCGACACCGCACAUCACCCUCCCCCCCCCUAGUUGGACAACUUUGCAGAGUUACCGUCGAGUGCCGAGGGUGGAACCUCUUACAUCACUUCUGAUGAGAUCUCUGUAGUGUAGUUAUACGGUAGAGGUCAUCGAGGGUGAUUUCCUCCUUAACCACUUCCGUUACCGCUCUGUCGUGCAACCCCUCAAGUGUGAACCUCGAGGGUGGUUCCUCUUACGUUCACCUUGAUGAUAAGAUCGAGUGGGAUUCACCGGGGGUGAUUCCUCGAAUUUUCCCCUUGGUGUUAGACACACAAUUACUAUGGUUACUAUGACUUUGCACUGAGCCAUGUUACUAAAGACGGGUCGACCCUGAGGGGUACCCGCGCGAGCUUAAUUGCGAGUGAUGUGGAGACGGGUUGACCUGGAGGGUGCCCGCGAGAUAAUUACGAGGCGUGGUCGGGCAUUCCUAGCCCUUGCCGCAAGUCCUCGAGACAGGGCAACGGGGUCACAUCUUUCGUGAGUCUCUGCUUGUUACCGCGCGUUCCUAAUCCACUACGAUUUGGAUAUUUGAUCCGAGGGGCCUCUGGCCUGAUAGCACUAACCAUCACGUGGGCAUAGUAUGGGCGUUCUGCGUCGUAUGCAUCAGCCGAAGCUUAAUAGACGUCAGCGACUGAGCGGCGCGUGCCGGGUUGGACUGGUAAGCACCUUCCUUUUUGAAGGAGGUAGCUAGGUCUGCUCACCGGCCGCCCUCGCAACGUGCAGGAGUUCCCGGGGAGAUGGCCCAUGACCCCUGGGGGCAUAGCUUUAGUCCGGCAUGCUGGCCUUUCUAUUAAGUCUAGGUCGGGUUGCGGCGUAUUGUUUGGCCGAGGCCGGGCAUGACCCAGGAAAGUGUGUCCGAUCGGAGUUAAUCGAGCGUGGUGGGUAAGUUGGUGCACCCCUGUAGGGAAGAAAACAUCUAUCGAUAGCCUGUCCUACGGUAACGGACACUUGGAGUUGUAUCCCGAUCGAUACAACUAGAACUGGAUAGUUGUGAUGAGAAAUGGAUUGUGAUGAGAACGGAUGGUGAUGAGAAUUGGAUUAUGAUUGGAACUGGAUAGUAUGGCUCUGGGAUUGCUUUCUCGCAGGGAGUCGAGAAAGGAUCUCUGGCCGAGGUUGAUAACACUUCUACUACUUUACGUUAUGCUACUCUACUCCCUCCUGUUGCUUCAAGAUGGUGGAUUCGAGAAGAUGCUAGUCUUCGAUAGGCUAGGCCUUCCCCUUCUCUUCUGGCAUUCUGCAGUUCAGUCCACAUAUACUACCCCCUUUCAUUGACAUCGAUGCAUAUGUAGUGUAGAUCCUUGUUUGCGAGUACUUUGGAUGAGUACUCACGGUUGCUUUGCUCCCCCUUUUCCCCCUUUUCCAUUCUUCUCGGAUGUCGCAACCAGAUGGUGGAGCCCAGGAUCCAGACGCCACCUUCGACGACAACUGCUACUACACUGAGGGUGCCUACGACUACGUGGAGGCCGCCGACGACCAGGAGUAGUUAGGAGGCUCCCAGGCAGGAGGCCUUGCCUUUUCGAUCGAUGUUGCUUUUGUGCUAGCCUUCUUAAGGCAAAAACUUGUCUAACUUAUGUCUGUACUCAGAUAUUGUUGCUUCCGCUGACUCUUGUGUAUUCGAGCUUAUGUAUUCGAGCCCUUGAGGCCCCUGGCUUGUAAUAUAGAGCUUGUAUUAUUUAAAUUUGUGUCUAGAGUUGUGUUGUGAUAUCUUCCCGUGAGUCCUUGAUCUUGAUCGUAUACAUUUGCGUGUAUGAUUAGUGUACGAUUGAAUCGAGGGCGUCACACCAUCCCAGCGCACCUGCAAGGCAGUGUUGCAUAUCUUCACAUGGCUGUGGAAGACAAGGUGUUCUAAUUAGGAUUGGGGUGAGGUGGGUCCAACCAUGCCUCCACUCCCUAUGUAAAUAUGUGUUUCACGAUUGGCCAUGGGUUUUCCCUUCUCAAUUUUUUAG